rnacentral:rRNA from 1 species
CACGGGGGGGAGCAAGCGUUGUUCGGAAUCACUGGGCGUAAAGGGCGUGUAGGCGGUCAGGUAAGUGAGACGUGAAAUGCCCCGGCUUACCCGGGGGACCUGCGUCUCAUACUGCUUGGCUUGAGUACGGGAGAGGGUGUGGGAAUUCCUGGUGUAGCGGGUGAAAUGCGUAGAUAUCAGGAGGAACACCGGUGGGCGAAGGCGCACACCUGGCCCGAUACUGACGCUGAGGAGCGAAAGCGUGGGGAGCGAACGG